UCAACACAGUCCAAUUUUCCCCUCGCAGGAAAACAACCCAUCACCUCUCACCGCCUGGCCACCCUCGCUCUGCUGCACAAUUGGACCGGAGCCUCUGUAUGUUACAGCAUAACAGAAGGAACUGAGGUUGAGGUUUAAAAUCUAACACUGGACAAGAAAUGAGGUAAUAAUCGCCUGAUGCCCCAACACAGGAACUGGAGGGCCUCAAGAAUCAAGGAAAAGGUAGAAACUGAAGCGAUGAGGGGAUAAGCAACAGGAUGUGAACACGCCCUGACUGUUUCCGUUCCAGAGAACAGACUGCAGGGUACAGGGGUGAAGAACAGCACAGCCCUCGAGCCCGGAGCCCGGAGCCCGGA